CGUCUAUAUACGUAUAGCAUAUCAAUAAGCGGAGGAAAAGAAACUAACAAGGAUUCCCUUAGUAACGGCGAGUGAAGCGGGAAGAGCUCAAAUUUGAAAUCUUCAAGGUUUUACCUUGACGAAUUGUAGUUUAAAGAAGUGUUUUCUGUUAGAGUUUGAGUAGAAAAGUUCCUUGGAAUAGGGACAUCAUAGAGGGUGAGAAUCCCGUAUUUGGUCAUUAUUUUCUAGCUGUGUGAUACACUUUCAAAGAGUCGGAUUGUUUGGGAAUGCAGUCCAAAAUGGGUGGUAAAUUUCAUCUAAAGCUAAAUAUUGGCGAGAGACCGAUAGCGAACAAGUACCGUGAGGGAAAGAUGAAAAGAACUUUGAAAAGAGAGUUAAACAGUACGUGAAAUCGUCAAAAGGGAAGCGUUUGACACCAGUGUUGUUUUUCCGAAAAUCAAUUAAGAGGGACUUGAUUUUGUGUUGUAUUGACCUUAUCAGCUUUCUUCACUCUUUUUCGAGUCUUUCUUAAUGCACUUUUCGGUUAACAAGUCAACAUCAAUUUCUUUUGUUGUAAAAGGGUAUUUGGAAGGUGGCUUUCUUUUCGGAGAAAGUGUUUAUAGCCUUAUACCUCUACAAUCGGAGAGAUUGAGGUCUGCAGCGUAGAUCCUUCGGGGCUAGAUACACUUGUGCUAAGUUAUAGCUUUUCAUAGACAACUUGUUGACUAUGUUUAGUCAUGUAGCUUACCCGCUUGUGCUAUUUUACCUACGCUUAGGAUGUUGAGUCAUCACACAUCUCU
rnacentral:rRNA from 1 species